AAGACCCCCUCUCUUUAGAAUCGAUCCAUCGACUCUUUUCCCCUCUUUUUCUCUCCGAUUUUCCCGAAGAAGAGCCGCGGGCACAGUUGGGUUCUCGCCGUGUUUUCUCUCCGACGAGGUCCCAAGAGGCCGAGGUAAGUUCUUCUCUUUUUCCUCCCUUCCUUCCUCUUUUCCCCGUGCGUUUGUGCGCGGUGGCCGGCGACGAACAUCGCCGAUUUUUGGUCGGGAAAAGACUCUGUUUUUUGGGCUUAUUUUUCGUGAAAUCU
rnacentral:lncRNA from 1 species